rnacentral:rRNA from 1 species
AACGAACGCUGGCGGCAGGCUUAACACAUGCAAGUCGAGCGCCCCGCAAGGGGAGCGGCAGACGGGUGAGUAACGCGUGGGAAUCUACCCAUCCCUACGGAACAACUCCGGGAAGCUGGAGCUAAUACCGUAUACGUCCUCCGGGAGAAAGAUUUAUCGGGGAUGGAUGAGCCCGCGUUGGAUUAGCUAGUUGGUGGGGUAAAGGCCUACCAAGGCGACGAUCCAUAGCUGGUCUGAGAGGAUGAUCAGCCACACUGGGACUGAGACACGGCCCAGACUCCUACGGGAGGCAGCAGUGGGGAAUAUUGGACAAUGGGCGCAAGCCUGAUCCAGCCAUGCCGCGUGAGUGAUGAAGGCCCUAGGGUUGUAAAGCUCUUUCACCGGGGAAGAUAAUGACGGUACCCGGAGAAGAAGCCCCGGCUAACUUCGUGCCAGCCGCCGCAGUAACAC